GACGAACGCUGGCGGCGUGCUUAACACAUGCAAGUCGAACGGAAAGGCCCUGCUUUUGUGGGGUGCUCGAGUGGCGAACGGGUGAGUAACACGUGAGUAACCUGCCCUUGACUUUGGGAUAACUUCAGGGAACUGGGGCUAAUACCGGAUAGGAGCACCUGCUGCAUGGUGGGGGUUGGAAAGAUUCGGCGGUUGGGGAUGGACUCGCGGCUUAUCAGCUUGUUGGUGGGGUAGUGGCUUACCAAGGCUUUGACGGGUAGCCGGCCUGAGAGGGUGACCGGCCACAUUGGGACUGAGAUACGGCCCAGACUCCUACGGGAGGCAGCAGUGGGGAAUAUUGCACAAUGGGCGGAAGCCUGAUGCAGCAACGCCGCGUGCGGGAUGACGGCCUUCGGGUUGUAAACCGCUUUCGCCUGUGACGAAGCGUGAGUGACGGUAAUGGGUAAAGAAGCACCGGCUAACUACGUG
rnacentral:rRNA from 1 species